GACGGGGGCCCGCACAAGCGGUGGAGCAUGUGGUUUAAUUCGACGCAACGCGAAGAACCUUACCAGGGCUUGACAUCUUCUGAUCGCUUAAGGAAACUUAAGCUUUCCGGAAGGUUUACUUUCCGGACAGAAAGACAGGUGUGCAUGGUUGUCGUCAGCUCGUGUCGUGAGAUGUUGGGUUAAGUCCCGCAACGAGCGCAACCCCUACGGUUAGUUGCUAACGGGUAAGGCCGAGCACUUUAGCUGAACUGCGUUGACAAACGGAGGAAGGCGGGGAUGACGUCAAAUCAUCAUGCCCUUUAUGUCCUGGGCUACACACGUGCUACAAUGGCCUGUACAAAGGGCGGCAAAGGGGCGACCCGGAGCAAAUCCCAAAAAACAGGUCUCAGUUCGGAUUGCAGGCUGCAAUUCGCCUGCAUGAAGGCGGAAUCGCUAGUAAUCGCAGGUCAGCAUACUGCGGUGAAUACGUUCCCGGGCCUU
rnacentral:rRNA from 1 species